UGGAGAAAAGAUUCUGCCUAGAUUGACAUAAUGGAGGGAUCAAGGGCCAAAGCUCUUUACCCAGGCACCAAUUAAAAGCAAAAUUCUUCCUAAGUAAUCCCACAUUUUCAAAGGGUAAUUUAUUCUAAAACAUGAAUUAUUUCAUAAAGGAUAAAAUACCAAAAGGCUUGUGAGUGAUAUCAGAGCCUUUCAAAUUCAUACAAUGCCUCAAUUUUAGCAUCUCUGUUAUAGGAGGGAACACAACCAAUGGAACAGAAAAUGUUUUACUCUGGGGAUCCAGCAGGAUUGAAAUUUUCAGAAGCUCACAGAUAUCCACAAAGAUACAUCUGUGCAUUUACCUACCCGGGCUGUCUUAUAAACGACUAAACUUCCUAUAGGAUAGUCCAUUGAUUGUUGCCACCCUAACUUCCUAAAAAUGACCUCAUGAGAGAAAGAUGAAGAAAAAAACAAGCUCUCAACUCCCGUGGCAAGCUUCUGAUUCCCACAGGACAAAGGGAGAGGCUUUUGCCAGGGAAGUCCUCAACCACCGCUCUGAGUCCCCACAUUUGGUUUCUACUAAUGGUCAGCACUUCUUCAGCACUUCUUNGCGGGUGUGGGGGGGGGGGGGGGGGUGGAGAUGAGAGACGCUGGAAUAUCACCUACAGAGUGUGUGGGAUGAGGGGGGUGGGGAAGAAAAGAAGGCGUUCUCUGAGGUUGUUUUAUCACCUCCUAUCAAUGACUGCAACAGCGUUUCUCGGCCCUAAUCCAGCCACCCCACCCCCUGGUCUCUACAUCCGGCACCCCUCUGAGUGGGUGGCCCUGGAGUGGGGGGUACCCCUGUGGUGGGACCUGGGAGCGGGACGGUUGCAGAGCGUGGGAUGUUGCUGCAGCCAAGCCUCUACCCUCUGACUGUCUUCCUCUGCUUUGCAGCAGGAGGAGGUGGCGGAGCAGCUAGUGGGCAGCUGGCGCCCCCACCACGCAAGCCUCCGCCCCGGAGACUAGCCCCGCGCGGCCCCGGGUGCGCCGCAGAGCCCCGGGGAGGGCCCCGGGGAGGGCCCCGAGGAGGGCCCCGGCCGGGGGCGCCCCGCGGCCCAGCCACCUCCGCCCGCGCAGAGGUGCUUUACAAACAAGGAGAAACUUUUCCUGAUCUCCCGCUCCCGCGCCGUGGCGGUGGAGGACGGAGACCUGGAGAGCGCCGGCAUCUAGGGGAGAAGCAGCGGGAGCGCGGAAGGAGCCGGAAUCGGGGAACCGCCCGCUGGAAUCGGCGAGUUUAA
rnacentral:lncRNA from 1 species